GGUAACCACACAUAUAACUCAACUAUACUAAAACAUCAUCAAUCCUUAAGUGUGCACACCCUGCGGGUUCGAAAACUAUGUAGACAUGACCCGAGACACUCGGUCAAUAUUCAAUAGCGGGACCUGGAUUCCCAUAUUGAAUCCUACAUAUUCUCCGAAGAUCUUAUCGGUUGAACCUCAGUGCCAAGGAUUCAUAUAAUCUCGUAUGUCAUUCCCUUUGUCCUUCGGUAUGUUACUUGCGCGAGAUUCGAUCGUCGGUAUCCGCAUACCU
rnacentral:lncRNA from 1 species